AGAACGAACGCUGGCGGCAUGCCUAACACAUGCAAGUCGAACGCUCUUGGGACUUCGGUUCCAAGGGAGUGGCGCACGGGUGAGUAGCGCGUGGGAACCUGCCCUGUUGUGGGGGAUAACCGAGGGAAACUUCGGCUAAUACCGCAUAAGCCGGUUGUCUUGAAAGAGAUGGCCGGGAAAGAUUUAUCGCGACAGGAGGGGCCCGCGUCGGAUUAGGUAGUUGGUGGGGUAACGGCCUACCAAGCCUGUGAUCCGUAGCUGGUCUGAGAGGAUGAUCAGCCACACUGGGACUGAGACACGGCCCAGACUCCUACGGGAGGCAGCAGUGGGGAAUAUUGGACAAUGGGCGCAAGCCUGAUCCAGCAAUGCCGCGUGAGUGAUGAAGGCCUUCGGGUUGUAAAGCUCUUUCGCCCGCGACGAUGAUGACGGUAGCGGGAGAAGAGCCCCGGCUAACUUCGUGCCAGCAGCCGC
rnacentral:rRNA from 1 species